rnacentral:rRNA from 1 species
GAUCAUGGCUCAGAACGAACGCUGGCGGCAGGCCUAACACAUGCAAGUCGAGCGCGCCCUUCGGGGUGAGCGGCGGACGGGUUAGUAACGCGUGGGAACGUACCCUUUGGUAGGGAAUAGCCACUGGAAACGGUGAGUAAUACCCUAUGAGCCCUUCGGGGGAAAGAUUUAUCGCCAAAGGAUCGGCCCGCGUUAGAUUAGGUAGUUGGUGGGGUAAUGGCCUACCAAGCCUACGAUCUAUAGCUGGUUUUAGAGGAUGAUCAGCAACACUGGGACUGAGACACGGCCCAGACUCCUACGGGAGGCAGCAGUGGGGAAUCUUGGACAAUGGGGGCAACCCUGAAUCCAGCCAUGCCACGUGAGUGAAGAAGGCCUUAGGGUCGUAAAGCUCUUUCGCCUGUGAAGAUAAUGACGGUAGCAGGUAAAGAAACCCCGGCUAACUCCGUGCCAGCCGCUGC